GGGGGUGUACUGGUUUCGACGGGGGUAUAGAACCACGUUAAGCGAGUCGUUGCGUUGAUCAACGUUAAAAGUGACACCUUAAAAAGAAAAGACAAAGAAAACUUUGCAUUAGCUGCCUAAUUUUGCGGCUCGUCCGCCUCAGCUCACCUGCAGGCUGAGAUCCGGGCGUCAUCUAUGCAGGAAAACGUUAUGCCCACUCCUUUAAGCAUGACGGAAUCUAAAGGAUAGCUGAAGAGAAAACCUGCUUCUGGGUGUUUUCCGAUGCGAAACCCUAAAUCAGAAGCUGCACUCGGAGAAAGAUGUGCGGAAGUGCUUUCGGACAGGAGUUCGAUUCUCCUCACCUCCACCA
rnacentral:tmRNA from 1 species